GAUGAACGCUGGCGGCGUGCCUAACACAUGCAAGUCGAACGAAGCGAUCGAGAUGAAGUUUUCGGAUGAAUUCGAGAUUGACUGAGUGGCGGACGGGUGAGUAACGCGUGGGUAACCUGCCUUAUACAGGGGGAUAACAGUUAGAAAUGACUGCUAAUACCGCAUAAGCGCACAGUAUCGCAUGAUACCGUGUGAAAAGCCGAGACGGUAUAAGAUGGACCCGCGUCUGAUUAGCCAGUUGGUGGGGUAACGGCCCACCAAGGCGACGAUCAGUAGCCGACCUGAGAGGGUGACCGGCCACAUUGGGACUGAGACACGGCCCAAACUCCUACGGGAGGCAGCAGUGGGGAAUAUUGCACAAUGGGGGAAACCCCGAUGCAGCGACGCCGCGUGAGUGAAGAAGUAUUUCGGUAUGUAAAGCUCUAUCAGCAGGGAAGAAAAUGACGGUACCUGACUAAGAAGCCCCGGCUAACUACGUGCCAGCCGCCGCAGUAAUAC
rnacentral:rRNA from 1 species